AACAAAAACAAUUUGAAGGGCAUUAAGGUUUAGUGUAGUCUGCAGAUUCAUGAAAGCUUUGAAAAUUAAGUAUCUCACUCUAUUACUUACUAAUGACAUCCUGAUUCAGAAUUUUCCGUUUAUACUCCCUCAUUUUCCGUCUUUUGCACUCCCCUCUCCUAUAAGAGUCAAGCAGUGGUGGCACACCUGUCAUUUUUUUCCUGCAUUGAAUAAAAUAUAAUGACACUCCCCAGGUGGAAUCCACCGUUUCUGUGACUUACUCUCUUUAGCACCUCUGCACCAUACCAAGCAUUAGGAUCACGGUGAACUUCCCAGACCCAGUGGUGUCCACGAUGCAUGUCCCUAUUCUCUAAGGAGUCUCUAUUCCAUUCCUUAACCAAUUACCUACCCUGCGAGAGAGCAGUCUUCCACCCUGAAUGCUGAGAGAAGAGUGCUGGCAG